rnacentral:rRNA from 1 species
GACAGAGGGUGCAAACGUUGUUCGGAAUUACUGGGCGUAAAGCGUGCGCAGGCGGUUCGUUGUGUCGGUGGUGAAAGCCCCGGGCUUAACCUGGGAAUGGCCAUGGAAACUGGCGAACUGGAGUGUGGCAGAGGGGGGUGGAAUUCCGCGGUGUAGCAGUGAAAUUCGUAGAUAUUCGGAGGAACACCAGUGGCGAAGGCGGCUCACUGGUCCGGUACUGACGCUGAGGUGCGAAAGCGUGGGGAGCAAACAGG